rnacentral:tRNA from 1 species
UUUUGCUUAAUUAGUUUAUUUAAAGCGUUAAAUUGUGGGUUUAAAGAAGUUAUUGCAUUAGGCAAUUUUUUAUCAGUGGGGUUUG